rnacentral:rRNA from 1 species
GACGAACGCUGGCGGCGUGCCUAAUACAUGCAAGUCGAGCGAACAGAUGAAGAAGCUUGCUUCUUCUGACGUUAGCGGCGGACGGGUGAGUAACACGUGGGCAACCUACCUUAUAGUUUGGGGAUAACUUCGGGGAAACCGGAGCUAAUACCGGAUAAUCCCUUUCCUCUCAUGAGGAAAGGCUGAAAGAUGGUUUACGCUAUCACUUAUAGAUGGGCCCGCGGCGCAUUAGCUAGUUGGUGAGGUAACGGCUCACCAAGGCAACGAUGCGUAGCCGACCUGAGAGGGUGAUCGGCCACACUGGGACUGAGACACGGCCCAGACUCCUACGGGUGGCUG